rnacentral:tRNA from 1 species
GGGGUUGUGGCUCAGUGGUAGAGUGCUUGCCUAGCAUGUGUGAGUCCCUGGGUUCGAUCCCCAGCACCCCA